UCAACCCUGAAUAUUCAUUGGAAGGACUGAUGGCUGAUACUGAAGCUCCAAUACUUGGGCCACCUGAUGUGAAGAGCUGAUUCAUUGUAAAAGACCCUGAUGCUGGGAAAGGCUGAAGGCAAUAUGAGAAGGGGGCAGCUGAAGAUGAGACGUUAGAAAGCAUCACUGACCCAAUGGACAUGAAUUUGAGCAAAGACUGGGAGACAGUCAGGGACACGAACCCUGGCAUGCUGCAGUGCAUGGAGUCUCA